AGAAAUAGUUUUGAGCUGGAUGACAUUGAACAGGGCUGUAAACUGAUGGUCCUUGUCUUUCAGCUGGUAGCUCUGAAACAAUUGAAAAAAGCAGAGGAACAAAAAUUGUCUGAACUUCAGCAACAUUUGGAACAACUGGAGCCUAUCAAAGAGAAGUAUUCAGCCCUGCAGUCUGAAACGGUGAUACUGAAGGCUCACUAUGAAGAAUGUAUCCAAAAGCUGGAGAAGAAUCAGGACAGAUCUUCACCUGUGAACUUCACAGAAGAAGU